GUGGCCAUCAAGCGUGUAUCCUUGCAGAAGAAAGCGAAGGUGAAGCUCGAUUUCCAAGUACCGAGUGAAGCAGGAGAGAAGUCGUACACACUCUACUUCAUGUGCGACUCUUACUUAGGCUGUGACCAAGAGUACGCUUUCUCCGUUGAUGUCAAGGAGUCUGGCGCUGAAGAUCAGAUGGAAGAGUGAUCUUGUGUUUCAGGGGUGCUGUGGAUUCUGGAGAAGAGCAUUCUCACUUUUAUGUAAUAUGUGUCCUGAGUUUUAGACCAAAAUUGUGCUUCUGUACUGUUUGUUUUUGUUUUGUCUGGACCAAAGUCGAAACAGUAGACGUGUCAAAAACUCGUUUUGAGUUCUGUUUCUCUGAAAGCUGAGAUUUGAGAAACGAAUAUUAAUGAAAUGCAGCAACUUUUAUUAA